rnacentral:rRNA from 1 species
GAUGAACGCUGGCGGCGUGCCUAAUACAUGCAAGUCGAGCGAACAGACGAUGAUCUUGCUCCUCUGACGUUAGCGGCGGACGGGUGAGUAACACGUGGAUAACCUACCUAUAAGACUGGGAUAACUUCGGGACACCGGAGCUAAUACCGGAUAAUAUCUUGAACCGCAUUGUUCAAUAGUGAAAUACGGUUUUGCUGUCUCUUAUCGAUGGAUCCGCGCCGCAUUAGCUAGUUGUUAAGGUAACGGCUUACCACGGCAACGAUGCGUAGCCGACCUGAGAGGGGGGUAGGCCGCACUGGAACUGGAACACGGUCAAGACGACUAAGAGAGGCAGCAGAAGGGAAUCUUACGCAGUGGGCGAAAGCCUGACGGAGCAACGCCGAGUGAGAGAUGAAGGUCUUCGGAUCGUAAAAAUCUGUUAUGAGGGAAGAACAAAUGUGGAAGGAAAUAAGCACGGAUUGACGGUACCUAAUCAGAAAGCAACGGCUAACUACGUG